rnacentral:lncRNA from 1 species
ACCCAGACUAAAAGGCAGUUUGAUUUUACAAAUCAAAAUAGCAGUAAUCUAUGGAGAUUUACUUGUGAGAUUGGUAGGAAACAUCUUAAAUGUAAUCAAACAAUAACUUACAUCUUGAUGAAUUCACGUGUAGGUUUCUCUUCCUCAGAAGAAAUCAGAUGCUGUUCAGAGCACCAAGGCUAGAAUUUUACCCUGGUUCUCAUGCUACCUUGCACCCAGGUUGGAUCCUGAGUACAGUUUUUGGCAGGUGGGCCUGCAUAUAAGUUAGCAAUGGGGGAUACCCAGCUGCCUCUCUUCAUACAGCUGAGGUUUUGGGGAGUCAUUCUUGUAGCCCCUGGGUUGGGCCUAGUCCUGCAAAUGAAUUCACCAGCCCUAAAGCCCAAAUUGCAGCCUCUGUCAUUCACCUUCCAGGAGUGGAAAGGGCAGUAAGUUUCAUCUUAUUAUUAUUGCUAUUUUGGUGGUUUUGUUGAGGUUGGUGUGUGUAUGUCAGUAAGAUAAAGCUCUCAGAAAUUACAUAGCAUUUGUCAAGGAUAUAAGAGGGACUGUGCCACAUCUGGCUGUAUAGAAGGUGGUUCCAUAUCUUUAAAUAGAGCCCCAGGUCCUUAGCCACCAGAAAGGUUUUCAGGGGAAGUGUGCACCCUCAGCAGCUGCUGCUGGUGAGCAGCAUGGGCACACAUGGAACAGGCUUUCCUCUGUGGCCAGGUGAGAAGCAGGUGGUGAGACACAGAGCAGUGCUGGGCUCUGCUUCUGAAGCCUCCAACCUUUCCUUCCCUAGGAAGCCCCAGAGAGAUUGGUGAGGGUGAUUUCCCAGGAAGACGCAGUGUGCUCUGACUUCUGUGACAGUGAGCAACGGGACCAGUGGAUGUCCAGAUGCUGGCAAUGAGACAUACUCUGGAGUCAGAAGACAGCGAAAAGAGAAGCAGAAGCCCCGGUGGCAAGAGUCUGAAGGAAGGAUGACUGUAGCCUGUGGAUUGUACUGCAGUAGGAAACUGUCCUAGCAAGGCUCCACCUUGCCCCAGCUUCAAGCUGGAAAGGAGGAGAACAUGAAACAUUGCUUGAAGACAAUGGCCGAGACAGCAGGUCCCACCCUGCACAGCCAACAGCAUCUCUCCCCUCAGCCCUGUCUCCUCUUCUGCAGUUGGGAUCUGCACAUUUAAGCCUGAAGUAAGAAUAAAAC